rnacentral:lncRNA from 1 species
AAAGAAGUAUUCUACCUAGGCCUGUCGCGAUAAUCAAUAAAUCGCCUUAUCGCUCGGUAAAUAAAAACGAGGUCGGUCAUUUUGCCAGCCUCGAUAAUUGACGUGCGUUUGUUUUCCUCCUCUCUCGCUACCAAACACGCUGGAUGAGAGAAGAGGUCUCACUCUGCGCAUUUUUCUCGGCACCUGGGGGCGUUGGCUCUAUAGCGGAAUGAACGGAGUUAGUGAACCCUCCUGUCAGUCAUUCAGUCUCUUUGUCACGAGGGGACUGGCGCGCACAGGUACACGUAGGCGCGCACAGGCACACAGACGCAGACUUUUGGAUACAGUGCUGCAAGUGAGCGUCGUGAGUGAAAAGCAAGCAAACAGAAUGAACACGAC